GACGAACGCUGGCGGCGUGCUUAACACAUGCAAGUCGAACGGAAAGGCCCGGCUUUUGUGGGGUUCUCGAGUGGCGAACGGGUGAGAAACACAUGAGUAACCUCCCCUUAUCUUUGGGGUAACUUCUGGGAAAUGGGGCUAAUAUCGGAGAUGAGAUCCUGCUGCAUGUGGGGGGUUGGAAAGUUUCGGUGGUGGGGGAUGGAAUCGCGGCUUAUCCGCCUGUUGGUGGGGUAGGUGCUUUCGAAGGCUUUGCAGGGUAGCCGGCCUGAGAGGGUGACCGGCGACAUUGGGACUGAGAUACGCAGCAGACUCCUACGGGAGGCAGCAGUGGGGAAUAUUGCACAAUGGGCCGACGCCUGAUGCAGCAGCGCCGCGUGCGGGAUGACGGCCUUCGGGUUGUAAACCGAUUUCGCAUGUGACGAAGCGUGAGUGACGGUAACGGGUAAAGAAGCACCGGCUAACUACGUG
rnacentral:rRNA from 1 species